AUUGAACGCUGGCGGCAGGCCUAACACAUGCAAGUCGAACGGUAACAGGAAGAAGCUUGCUUCUUUGCUGACGAGUGGCGGACGGGUGAGUAAUGUCUGGGAAACUGCCUGAUGGAGGGGGAUAACUACUGGAAACGGUAGCUAAUACCGCAUAACGUCGCAAGACCAAAGAGGGGGAACUUCGGGCCUCUUGCCAUCGGAUGUGCCCAGAUGGGAUUAGCGAGUAGGUGGGGUAACGGCUCACCUAGGCGACGAUCCCUAGCUGGUCUGAGAGGAGGACCAGCCACACUGGAACUAAGACACGGACCAGAAGCCUACGGGAGGCAGCAGUGGGGAAUAUUGCACAAUGGGCGAAAGCCUGAUGCAGCCAUUCGGCGUGUAUGAAGAAGGCCUUCGGGUUGUAAAGUACUUUCAGCGGGGAGGAAGGUGUUGUGGUUAAUAACCGCAGCAAUUGACGUUACCCGCAGAAGAAGCACCGGCUAACUCCGUGCCAGCCGCCGCCGUAA
rnacentral:rRNA from 1 species